rnacentral:rRNA from 1 species
AGAAUCAACGCUGGCGGCGUGCCUAACACAUGCAAGUCGAACGAGAAAGGGGAGCAAUCCCUGAGUAAAGUGGCGACCGGGUGAGUAACACGUGACUAACCUACCCUCGAGUGUGGAAUAACAUCGGGAAACCGAUGCUAAUACCGCAUAACAUCGGCGCUUUUAAGAGAUGCCGAUCAAAGGAGCAAUCCGCUUGAGGAGGGGUCGCGGCUGAUUAGCUAGUUGGCGGGUAACGGCCCACCAAGGCGAAGAUCGGUA